GACGAAGGGGGCUAGCGUUGUUCGGAAUUACUGGGCGUAAAGGGCGCGUAGGCGGUCCUGAUCGUCGGAUGUGAAAGGCCUGGGCUCAACCUGGGAAUGGCAUCCGAUACGGCGGGACUGGAGUGUGGGAGAGGUUGGUGGAAUUCCCAGUGUAGAGGUGAAAUUCGUAGAUAUUGGGAAGAACACCGGUGGCGAAGGCGGCCAACUGGACCACAACUGACGCUGAGGCGCGAAAGCGUGGGGAGCAAACAGG
rnacentral:rRNA from 1 species